CCGUUCUUAGUUGGUGGAGCGAUCUGUCUGGUUAAUUCCGAUAACGAACGAGACUCUCCCCUGCUAACUAGUCGGUUGGAUCUUGAUCAGCGGGUUGCGUGCCGAGUAACUCUCGCUGUGCGUGGUGUGCUUGUGCGGGGCAACCUGUGCUUGUGCGCUCGUGCCGUGUUGGAUGCCUUGGAUCACACUGCACCCCAAGUCCGCCGCUUAUGCUAUAACUCUUCUUAGAGGGAUUCACGGCACUGAAGCCGUAAGAGACUGAGAGCAAUAACAGGUCUGUGAUGCCCUUAGAUGCUCUGGGCCGCACGCGCGCUACAAUGCCGGGCACAGCAGGUUCUUUUCCUGCUCCGACAGGAGCGGGUAACCCUCUGAAAGCCAGUGUUCUUGCAAGUGCUUCCUCCCUCGUGGAGUUGCACAGAGGCGUGCUUGGGCCUGGGACUUGCAAUUCUUUCCCACCAACGAGGAAUGCCUAGUAGCGGCGGGUCACUGAGCCCGCUGUGACUCAGUCCCUGCCCUUUGUACACACCGCCCGUCGCUACUACCGAUUGGGUGUACCAGUGAGAGCCUUGGACUGGCGUCCGUUGUCGCUCUUGGGUGACAAGCGGGUCCGACGGAAAGAGGUCCGAACUGGUGCACUUAGAGGAAGUAAAAGUCGUAACAAGGUUUCCGUAGGUGAACCUGCGGAAGGAUCAAUUA
rnacentral:rRNA from 1 species